GUGGGGAAUUUUGGACAAUGGGCGAAAGCCUGAUCCAGCCAUGCCGCGUGCAGGAUGAAGGCCUUCGGGUUGUAAACUGCUUUUGUACGGAACGAAAAGACUCUGGUUAAUACCUGGGGUCCAUGACGGUACCGUAAGAAUAAGCACCGGCUAACUACGUGCCAGCAGCCGCGGUAAUACGUAGGGUGCAAGCGUUAAUCGGAAUUACUGGGCGUAAAGCGUGCGCAGGCGGUUAUAUAAGACAGAUGUGAAAUCCCCGGGCUCAACCUGGGAACUGCAUUGGUGACUGUAUAGCUAGAGUACGGCAGAGGGGGAUGGAAUUCCGCGUGUAGCAGUGAAAUGCGUAGAUAUGCGGAGGAACACCGAUGGCGAAGGCAGUCCCCUGGGCCUGUACUGACGCUCAUGCACGAAAGCGUGGGGAGCAAACAGGAUUAGAAACCCCUGUAGUCC
rnacentral:rRNA from 1 species